AUUGAACGCUGGCGGCAUGCCUUACACAUGCAAGUCGAACGGCAGCACGGGAGCAAUCCUGGUGGCGAGUGGCGAACGGGUGAGUAAUAUAUCGGAACGUGCCCAGUCGUGGGGGAUAACGCAGCGAAAGCUGUGCUAAUACCGCAUACGAUCUACGGAUGAAAGCGGGGGAUCGCAAGACCUCGCGCGAUUGGAGCGGCCGAUAUCAGAUUAGCUAGUUGGUGGGGUAAAGGCCCACCAAGGCGACGAUCUGUAGCUGGUCUGAGGGGACGACCAGCCACACUGGAACUGAGACACGAUCCAGACUCCUACGGGAGGCAGCAGUGGGGAAUUUUGGACAAUGGGCGAAAGCCUGAUCCAGCAAUGCCGCGUGCAGGACGAAGGCCUUCGGGUUGUAAACUGCUUUUGUACGGAACGAAACGGUCUCUUCUAAUAAAGGGGGCUAAUGACGGUACCGUAAGAAUAAGCACCGGCUAACUACGUGCCAGCAGCCGCAGUAA
rnacentral:rRNA from 1 species